rnacentral:rRNA from 1 species
AGAGUUUGAUCCUGGCUCAGGACGAACGCUGGCGGCACGCUUAACACAUGCAGGUCGAACGAGAGAAGAGGAGCUUGCUUUUCUGAUCUAGUGGCGGACGGGUGAGUAACACGUGAGCAAUCUGCCUUUCAGAGGGGGAUACCGAUUGGAAACGAUCGUUAAUACCGCAUAACAUAAUUGAACCGCAUGAUUUGAUUAUCAAAGAUUUAUCGCUGAAAGAUGAGCUCGCGUCUGAUUAGCUAGUUGGUAAGGUAACGGCUUACCAAGGCGACGAUCAGUAGCCGGACUGAGAGGUUGAUCGGCCACAUUGGGACUGAGACACGGCCCAGACUCCUACGGGAGGCAGCAGUGGGGAAUAUUGCACAAUGGAGGAAACUCUGAUGCAGCGAUGCCGCGUGGGGGAAGAAGGUUUUAGGAUUGUAAACCUCUGUCUUCAGGGACGAAAAAAGACGGUACCUGAGGAGGAAGCUCCGGCUAACUACGUGCCAGCAGCCGCGGUAAUACGUAGGGAGCGAGCGUUGUCCGGAAUUACUGGGUGUAAAGGGAGCGUAGGCGGGAUCGCAAGUCAGAUGUGAAAACUAUGGGCUUAACCCAUAAACUGCAUUUGAAACUGUGGUUCUUGAGUGAAGUAGAGGUAAGCGGAAUUCCUAGUGUAGCGGUGAAAUGCGUAGAUAUUAGGAGGAACAUCAGUGGCGAAGGCGGCUUACUGGGCUUUAACUGACGCUGAGGCUCGAAAGCGUGGGGAGCAAACAGGAUUAGAUACCCUGGUAGUCCACGCCGUAAACGAUGAUUACUAGGUGUGGGGGGACUGACCCCUUCCGUGCCGCAGCAAACGCAAUAAGUGAUCCACCUGGGGAGUACGACCGCAAGGUUGAAACUCAAAGGAAUUGACGGGGGCCCGCACAAGCAGUGGAGUAUGUGGAUUAAUUCGAAGCAACGCGAAGAACCUUACCAGGUCUUGACAUCGUAUGCAUAGCUCAGAGAUGAGUGAAAUCUCUUCGGAGACAUAUAGACAGGUGGUGCAUGGUUGUCGUCAGCUCGUGUCGUGAGAUGUUGGGUUAAGUCCCGCAACGAGCGCAACCCUUACUGUUAGUUGCUACGCAAGAGCACUCUAGCAGGACUGCCGUUGACAAAACGGAGGAAGGUGGGGAUGACGUCAAAUCAUCAUGCCCCUUAUGACCUGGGCCUCACACGUACUACAAUGGCUGUCAACAGAGGGAAGCAAAGCCGCGAGGUGGAGCGAACCCCUAAAAGCAGUCUUAGUUCGGAUUGUAGGCUGCAACCCGCCUACAUGAAGUCGGAAUUGCUAGUAAUCGCAGAUCAGCAUGCUGCGGUGAAUACGUUCCCGGGCCUUGUACACACCGCCCGUCACGCCAUGGGAGUCGGUAACACCCGAAGCCUGUAGUCUAACCGCAAGGAGGACGCAGUCGAAGGUGGGAUUGAUGACUGGGGUGAAGUCGUAACAAGGUA